CAGAUAGGCAUACAGUUGUUAAGAACAUCACCGGGUAGGAUUUGAGGUUCUCACAGUGGUGAGUAGGAAGAUGUCUGUCUUCUGGGUUGUAGCGUCUUGUAAUCUGGUAGAAGAUUACCAACGUUUCGGAUGUCGUUGCUGCCACCAUCAUCAGGGCGAUGAGUGGGGAUAACUAGUGAUUAUGAAGACUUCGGCUAUGCUAUGGGUUUGGCACUUACUUUAUCGUGAUCACCUGAGGUCUGUUACGUUGCAAGUUGCUUCAUUAGCCAGGUAUGUUAUCGUUAUCAUCAAGGACUGACGAAAAGUGUUCCUGCCGUCGAGGAAGGGUCAGAAACUGAUUACUGGACUGGAUUCAGACUGGACUUUUUCAAAUGCGAAUAACCGUCUUUUACCUCUAAUUAAAUUUGUUUUUAAAUAGUA